UACGUAGGGUGCAAGCGUUGUCCGGAAUUAUUGGGCGUAAAGAGCUCGUAGGCGGUUUGUCGCGUCUGCUGUGAAAACUCGGGGCUUAACCCCGGGCCUGCAGUGGGUACGGGCAGACUAGAGUGCGGUAGGGGAGACUGGAAUUCCUGGUGUAGCGGUGAAAUGCGCAGAUAUCAGGAGGAACACCGGUGGCGAAGGCGGGUCUCUGGGCCGUAACUGACGCUGAGGAGCGAAGGCGUGGGGAGCGAACAGG
rnacentral:rRNA from 1 species